UACGGAGGGGGCUAGCGUUGUUCGGAAUUACUGGGCGUAAAGCGCACGUAGGCGGCUUUGCAAGUUAGAGGUGAAAGCCCCGGGCUCAACCUGGGAAUUGCAUUCGAGACUGAAUAGCUAGGGUACGGUAGAGGGAAGUGGAAUUUCCGGUGUAGCGGUGAAAUGCGUAGAUAUCGGAAGGAACAUCAGUGGCGAAAGCGACUUCCUGGACCAGUACCGACGUUCAGGCACGAAAGCGUGGGGAGCAAACAGG
rnacentral:rRNA from 1 species